CAGCUCUCCGAGUGGUAGGGAUGAUUAUUGGGCUUAAAGCGUCCGUAGCCUGCUUAGCAAGUCUCCUGUUAAAUUCAGCGACCUAAUCGUUGAGCCGCGGGAGAUACUACUAGGCUAGGAGGCGGGAGAGGUCGACGGUACUUCUGGGGUAGGGGUGAAAUCCUAUAAUCCCGGGAGGACCACCAGUGGCGAAGGCUGUCGACUAGAACGCGCUCGACGGUGAGGGACGAAAGCUGGGGGAGCAAACCGGAUUAGAUACCCGAGUAGUCC
rnacentral:rRNA from 1 species